rnacentral:rRNA from 1 species
GAUGAACGCUGGCGGCGUGCCUAACACAUGCAAGUCGAGCGAACAGACGAGGAGCUUGCUCCUCUGACGUUAGCGGCGGACGGGUGAGUAACACGUGGAUAACCUACCUAUAAGACUGGGAUAACUUCGGGAAACCGGAGCUAAUACCGGAGAAUAUAUUGAACCGCAUGGUUCAAUAGUGAAAGACGGUUUUGCUGUCACUUAUAGAUGGAUCCGCGCCGCAUUAGCUAGUUGGUAAGGUAACGGCUUACCAAGGCAACGAUGCGUAGCCGACCUGAGAGGGUGAUCGGCCACACUGGAACUGAGACACGGUCCAGACGCCUACGGGAGGCAGCAGUAGGGAAUCUUCCGCAAUGGGCGAAAGCCUGACGGAGCAACGCCGCGUGAGUGAUGAAGGUCUUCGGAUCGUAAAACCCUGUUAUUAGGGAAGAACAAAUGUGUAAGUAACUGUGCACGUCUUGACGGUACCUAAUCAGAAAGCCCCGGCUAACUACGUG